GGUUGACCUCGGAUCAGGGA
rnacentral:rRNA from 1 species